CCCUCCCGUCCCCACUCACAUCCGUCGAUCUCCUCCUGCAGGUCCUCCUGGAGCAGCGACAGAUCUGCGGUGGUAAGAAGAUGGUUCCAGACUCUUUUCGGUGGUUCACAGUGACAGGAUGAGGAACAAUGGCCAUAAACUGAAACACAAGAAGUUUCAUCUCUACAUGAGGAAGAACUUCGCACUGAGAGCGUGGCAGAGCAGUGGAACAAGCUGUCCCAGGAGAUGAUGGAGUGUCCCUCCCUCUCUGGAGACAUUCAAACCCCACCUAGAUGUGUUCUUGCCUCACCUGCUCUAGGAGACCAUGCCUUGGCAGGGGCUUUGGACCAGAUGAUCUCCAAAGGUCCCUUCCAAGCCUAAUGGUUCUGUGACAGGCAGCCAUGCCACCACCACUGCAUAGCCCACAAGCAUCUUCCUCAUGUGAAUUGCCAAGUUUCUCCAGCUGGGAUCCCAUGGCUUAAACACACAGGAUACUGCCCCACUGCACUGCUGUGCCUUCUGACUUCUGCUUUAAAAACAGGCACUUUAGGUGUACAUAGGCACAAAGGUGCACAUGGUUUUCUGCUUUUUUUGGCUGUACCUUUUGGUCACUGCUAAUGGUUCUCAUUUCAACUGUUUUAAUAGAUUUUUUUUCCACUGUAAAUUGGAAUAUUAAAAGUGUUGGAUGAAACAAAUACUCUAUUCAGUUGAUAACCAGGGCACUUGAUAGAGGAAAGGACUAGUACUGGUACUAGUGCUACCUGGGAAUAUUACCUGAGUCUUCCACAGUCUUGUUUUAAACCUCCAUAAUAAUUGAUGAAGUUGUUAAUACACAAAAAAGCAAAAUAAAUUAUUUUUUGCUUGCAAAAAAAGAUGUAAUUUCAUUAGCACUGUUUUUAACUGUGUGCUUGAUAGUAUGUCUUGUAAGCUGCUUUUAAACAAUUUUUGAUUUUAUUUGGUGAAUUGUACAAGGAUUAAAUCUCCACAGUCAUUCAUU